rnacentral:rRNA from 1 species
AAUAGAUACCCUGGUAGUCCACGCCGUAAACGAUGAGUGCUAGGUGUUGGGGGGUUCCACCCUCAGUGCUGAAGUUAACACAUUAAGCACUCCGCCUGGGGAGUACGACCGCAAGGUUGAAACUCAAAGGAAUUGACGGGGGCCCGCACAAGCAGUGGAGCAUGUGGUUUAAUUCGAAGCAACGCGAAGAACCUUACCAGGUCUUGACAUCCUUUGACCACUCUAGAGAUAGAGCUUUCCCCUUCGGGGGACAAAGUGACAGGUGGUGCAUGGUUGUCGUCAGCUCGUGUCGUGAGGUGUUGGGUUAAGUCCCGCAACGAGCGCAACCCUUGACCUUAGUUGCCAGCAUUCAGUUGGGCACUCUAAGGUGACUGCCGGUGACAAACCGGAGGAAGGUGGGGAUGACGUCAAAUCAUCAUGCCCCUUAUGACCUGGGCUACACACGUGCUACAAUGGAUGAUACAAAGGGUUGCGAAGCCGCGAGGCCAAGCCAAUCCCAAAAAGUCAUUCUCAGUUCGGAUUGUAGG